rnacentral:rRNA from 1 species
UACGAGGGGGGCAAAUGUUGUUCGGAAUCACCGGGCGUAAAGGGAGCGUAGGCGGGUGUUUAAGUUAGGUGUUUAAUCCUGGGGCCCAACCCCAGUCGUGCACCUAAAACUGGACAUCUUGAAUAGUGGAGAGGUCAGUGGAAUUGGGGGUGUAGCGGUGGAAUGCGUAGAGAUCCCCAAGAACACCAGUUGCGAAGGCGGCUGACUGGACACAUAUUGACGCUGAGGCUCGAAAGCAUGGGGAGCAAACAGG